rnacentral:rRNA from 1 species
GAGAUAACUCCUACGGGAGGCAGCAGUAGGGAAUAUUGCUCAAUGGGGGAAACCCUGAAGCAGCAACGCCGCGUGGAGGAUGACACUUUUCGGAGCGUAAACUCCUUUUGUUAGGGAAGAACAAUGACGGUACCUAACGAAUAAGCACCGGCUAACUCCGUGCCAGCAGCCGCGGUAAUACGGAGGGUGCAAGCGUUACUCGGAAUCACUGGGCGUAAAGGACGCGUAGGCGGAUUAUCAAGUCUCUUGUGAAAUCCUAUGGCUUAACCAUAGAACUGCUUGGGAAACUGAUAAUCUAGAGUGAGGGAGAGGCAGAUGGAAUUGGUGGUGUAGGGGUAAAAUCCGUAGAGAUCACCAGGAAUACCCAUUGCGAAGGCGAUCUGCUGGAACUCAACUGACGCUAAUGCGUGAAAGCGUGGGGAGCAAACAGGAUUAGAAACCCUUGUAGUCCUCCACU